rnacentral:rRNA from 1 species
GACGAACGCUGGCGGCGCGCUUAACACAUGCAAGUCGAACGGUAAGGCCCUCCGGGGUACACGAGUGGCGAACGGGUGAGUAACACGUGGGUGAUCUGCCCUGCACUUCGGGAUAAGCCUGGGAAACUGGGUCUAAUACCGGAUAGGACCCUGGGAUGCAUGUCCUGGGGUGGUAAGCUUUUGCGGUGUGGGAUGGGCCCGCGGCCUAUCAGCUUGUUGGUGGGGUGAUGGCCUACCAAGGCGACGACGGGUAGCCGGCCUGAGAGGGUGACCGGCCACACUGGGACUGAGAUACGGCCCAGACUCCUACGGGAGGCAGCAGUGGGGAAUAUUGCACAAUGGGCGCAAGCCUGAUGCAGCGACGCCGCGUGAGGGAUGACGGCCUUCGGGUUGUAAACCUCUUUCAGCACCGACGAAGCGCAAGUGACGGUAGGUGCAGAAGAAGGACCGGCCAACUACGUGCCAGCCGCCGCAGUAA